UCCACUCACCAAAUUUCCUUCCUAAUGACGCGCCCCUUGCACGUACAGAAAAAUCCUUAACAUCUACAUCACAUCAUCCUCGACAUAACAUCCAUCUGAUCGCAUCAACCGACACAACCAUGCCAUCCUGACACAAGAUUCCUCCUUGACUGAAAUCCAAAAGCCUCCCUUAUAAUCUAACAUGGGGCCUACAGCUCCACAGACUUACUCUCUCAGCAACUCAACUCGUCAUCCAGAGAAUUCUCAAGCUAACACUAUUUACUUUGAAAAAUUUACUUAUUUAUUUACUUUAUAAUCAUCACUGAUAAAAGCUUUAUUAUCUUGGAAAAAUACUUUUAUAAAAUCGUAAAAUCUCUAGUCAUUUUUCUUUAUAUAAAAUUCUACAAUAUCGCGCGCCAGGGUGAUGAUGCCCCCUAUCACCAAGGGUUGCAAUGCACAAUGUAUGAUGCAUGUCCUAAAAUGAAUUUAUGCAUGCCUAACAGUGAAAUGCCAUAAUGCAUUCUUACGGAACUGGGCGCAAUAUUGUAUUUUAAAACACUUGUUCUACUUAGAAAAAUAAAUAAUGUUCGCUUAAGUUUCUCUGGAUUCUGAGCGUCCGAAAAUACUCCUGCCACCUUUCUUAAGCUUCUUACAACCACAAAACUCAACCAUAACAGCCGACAUCCGCUCGACUUCCCAGGCACUACUUUCGGCGCUACUCAAAAAGACGAUGCCUGAUGCGAUGACGAGGCGGUCCAUGACACGACUGCAACCACGCUCUAUACUAAAACUGACUACGGUGCCCACUAUCGAAACCACAAUCAAAGCUUCUAAAGGCGGACUGCACUAAUCACUUGAAGAAACAGCACGAGUCUAUCGCGCUUCGGAUCUCCCAUCGCUACAACGCUCAUUCUCAGCACGGCACCAAAAACAAGCUUACAAGAAAGGAAAGACUGACUCUCUAACAG
rnacentral:lncRNA from 1 species